UGCAGUCGAGCGGAUGACCCGGAGCUUGCUCCUUGAUUCAGCGGCGGACGGGUGAGUAAUGCCUAUGAAUCUGCCUGGUACUGGGGGACAACGUUUCGAAAGGAACGCUAAUACCGCAUACGUCCUACGGGAGAAAGCAGGGGACCUUCGGGCCUUGCGCUAUCAUAUGAACCUAGGUCGGAUUAGCUAGUAAGGGAGGUAAUGGCUCACCUAGGCNACNAUCCNUANCUGGUCUGAAAGGAUGAUCAGUCACCCUGGAACUGAGACACGGGCCAAACUCCUACGGGAGGCAGCAGUGGGGAAUAUUGCACAAUGGGCGAAAGCCUGAUCCAGCCAUGCCGCGUGUGUGAAGAAGGUCUUCGGAUUGUAAAGCACUUUAAGUUGGAAGGAAGGGUUGUACCCUAAUACCGUGCAAUUUUGACGUUACCGACAGAAUAAGCACCGGCUAACUCUGUGCCAGCAGCCGCGGUAAUACAAAGGGUGCAAGCGUUAAUCGGAAUUACUGGUCGUAAAGCGCGCGUACGUGGUUCGUUAAGUUGGAUGUGAAAGCCCCGGGCUCAACCUGGGAACUGCAUCCAAAACUGGCGAGCUAGAGUAUGGUAAAGGGUGGUGGAAUUUCCUGUGUAUCGGUGAAAUGCGUACAUAUAGGAAGGAACACCAGUGGCGAAAGCGACCACCUGGACUGAUACUGACACUGAGGUGCGAAAGCGUGGGGAGCAAACAGGAUUAAAUACCCUGGUAGUCCCCGCCGUAAACUAUGUCAACUAGCCGGUGGAAUCC
rnacentral:rRNA from 1 species